UACGGGGGGGGCAAGCGUUGUUCGGAAUUACUGGGCGUAAAGGGCUCGUAGGCGGCCAACUAAGUCGGACGUGAAAUCCCUCGGCUUAACCGGGGAACUGCGUCCGAUACUGGAUGGCUUGAGUUUGGGAGAGGGAUGCGGAAUUCCAGGUGUAGCGGUGAAAUGCGCAGAUAUCAGGAGGAACGCCGGUGGCGAAGGCGGAUCUCUGGGCCACUACUGACGCUGAGAAGCGAAAGCGUGGGGAGCGAACAGG
rnacentral:rRNA from 1 species